UACAGAGGGUGCAAGCGUUGUUCGGAAUUAUUGGGCGUAAAGCGCGUGUAGGCGGCUCUGCAAGUCGGGUGUGAAAGCCCUCAGCUCAACUGAGGAAGUGCGCCCGAAACUGCAUGGCUUGAGUACCGGAGAGGAUGGUGGAAUUCCCCAAGUAGAGGUGAAAUUCGUAGAUAUGGGGAGGAACACCGGUGGCGAAGGCGACCAUCUGGACGGAUACUGACGCUGAGACGCGAAAGCGUGGGUAGCAAACAGG
rnacentral:rRNA from 1 species